rfam:Phytophthora nicotianae strain race 0 contig656, whole genome shotgun sequence.
AUUUCAGUUACGGAGAGGUUACUAACUGGUACAUACGAACACAUACUCUGUUCUAAUCAGUGUGAAAACUGGUUUUCGCCGUUUUGGCGGACUUUUUCACUCUCAUUUUUGGGACUUCCGCGCGCGACCAGCUUGCUGGCGGCGGGUGGAGCGGUCUCCGGGGGCGUACACCUUUCCCCCGCGAGGCGCNANNNCA